rnacentral:lncRNA from 1 species
GAAGAUGAAGCAUCCUGAAGGCAGGAAAUACUUGCUUGCUGCCUCCCAACACCUGAUUCAUUAGCUAAUACACUAAGGAAGUAUGUUUUGAGUGAAUGAGUGAAAGAAAGUAAGAGGUAGAAUGGCUUCACUCCUUUGGAGUGGACUUCAUCAGACCUGAGAGUAAGGAUGCCCAAGGAUGGGAAACGUUCCACAUUACUCGUGCACCUGGGACCUGGGACACAUGCCUCUUCACCAGGGUUGGAGGUUCAAAUUCUGGAUCUUAAGGAAAUCCUGGCAAGGGGUUCUCCUUUAGUCCUUGACAUCUCAAAUAUCGCAUUCUGCUCACUGAAGAAAAUAGCUUUUGAAGACUGUGGGAACCACCCGCGUAAUAGUUACAUAACGGCUAAUGCAUUCUCGGGGCUGCUGAAAGUUGGGAAGGAGGUGAUUUUUGCAAGAGAGUCAUAGAGGUAUCCACUUACCAAGUUGACGUCAGUGAGAGGCUGGAUCAAUCCCCAGAACUUCCUAUCUCAGACUUCUUGUCAUUUGAGAAGUUUAAAGAGGCUUCCUUCAAACCAGGAUCAUAAAAAUAGUUAUGCAUAUUUUCUUCUAUUAAUUUCAAGCCUUCAAGAUAACUUUUAAAUUGUUGAUCCGUCUGGAAUUUAUUUUGGUAUAAAAGUAAGGAAAACAAAUUACAAAAGUAACCUAUGCUUGCUAUAACAAAGUCAAACAAUACAGACAUGUGGAGAAUAAGCCUUGACAACCUCUCUCUCUUCCCCUUUAACAACACAUCCCAGAGGAAACUCCAAUCAGCUGCUUGUUGAGCGUCCAUCCUUUCAGAUGUUCUCCCAUUCUUAUGCAUAAACGCGUUUCAUGAAGAAGAGCUACCAAAAUAUCAGUGACAUUUUGACUAGGAUUUCAAUAAAUAUUUGUAAAGAUGUAUUUUCCUUAACGUUUCUGGCUUCCAAAUCAUGUAAUGCCUCAGCAUUUCAGGUUUUUUUAAUGUGUAUACCAGUAUAACACCACUCAUGUACAUCCCAGAAACUGCGUGGGGCGGUUAAGGACAAGAAAAUACGUUUCAAAUGGACCUUGUCAGGGCAUUUCUCAAAGUAGGUUCUAUAAUACAUAGAUCCUGCAAGAUGCUCUGCAAAGAAAAUACGGGUUCUCUGGGUAAAUGAGUUUGGGAGACACUAGGUGGUAUAUCUUCC